GUGUAAUUUGGGGCACCUGUUCUAAAGAAGGAUAUUAUGGAUCCAGAAAACGUGCAGAGGUGGACUACAAAAUUUUAAUUAGUGUGGUAAUAGCAUCUUGAACCAAGGAGAGAUGUGACUGCCAUUCUGGGAUCAAGAAGGAUACCCCCCCCCUAGUUUGUUGCAAAACUGGAAAAGGCUUCUAACUAGUUUGUUUGGGAUGGACAGCAAUAGCACAGCUCAGAGUAACUGUAACACUAGUUACCGAACCUCACCAAGCAGCCCCUUCAGCCAGUCUGAUCCCUAAGGAGGAGAACGCUAGCUAAUUGCCGACCGGAUUCUGGCUCUGACCGGAUAACAUACUGAGGAACGCAUUGCUAUGGAACACAGAAUGCCGGCGUUCCAGUG